rnacentral:rRNA from 2 species
GGGUUGUGAGGUUAAGCGACUAAGCGUACACGGUGGAUGCCCUGGCAGUCAGAGGCGAUGAAGGGCGUGCUAAUCUGCGAUAAGCGCCGGUAAGGUGAUAUGAACCGUUAUAACCGGCGAUACCCGAAUGGGGAAACCCAGUGUGACUCGUCACACUAUCAUUAACUGAAUCCAUAGGUUAAUGAGGCGAACCGGGGGAACUGAAACAUCUAAGUACCCCGAGGAAAAGAAAUCAACCGAGAUUCC